GUGGGGAAUCUUGCGCAAUGGGCGAAAGCCUGACGCAGCCAUGCCGCGUGGAUGAUGAAGGUCUUAGGAUUGUAAAAUCCUUUCACCGGUGAAGAUAAUGACUGUAGCCGGAGAAGAAGCCCCGGCUAACUUCGUGCCAGCAGCCGCGGUAAUACGAAGGGGGCUAGCGUUGCUCGGAUUUACUGGGCGUAAAGGGCGCGUAGGCGGACAGCUUAGUCAGAGGUGAAAGCCCAGGGCUCAACCUUGGAAUUGCCUUUGAUACUGGCUGUCUUGAGUUUGGGAGAGGUGAGUGGAACUCCGAGUGUAGAGGUGAAAUUCGUAGAUAUUCGGAAGAACACCAGUGGCGAAGGCGACUCACUGGCCCAAUACUGACGCUGAGGCGCGAAAGCGUGGGGAGCAAACAGGAUUAGAUACCCUAGUAGUCC
rnacentral:rRNA from 1 species